rnacentral:rRNA from 1 species
UAUGUAGGGUGCGAGCGUUAAUCGGAAUUACUGGGCGUAAAGCGUGCGCAGGCGGUUUUGUAAGCCAGGUGUGAAAUCCCCGGGCUCAACCUGGGAAUGGCAUUUGGGACUGCAAGGCUGGAGUGCGGCAGAGGAGACUGGAAUUCCUGGUGUAGCAGUGAAAUGCGUAGAUAUCAGGAGGAACACCGAUGGCGAAGGCAGGUCUCUGGGCUGACACUGACGCUCAUGCACGAAAGCGUGGGGAGCAAACAGG